AGUGAACGCUGGCGGUAGGCCUAACACAUGCAAGUCGAACGGCAGCACAGUAAGAUCUUGCCCUUACGGGUGGCGAGUGGCGGACGGGUGAGGAAUACAUCGGCAUCUACUUUUUCGUGGGGGAUAACGUAGGGAAACUUACGCUAAUACCGCAUACGACCUACGGGUGAAAGCAGGGGUUCUUCGGACCUUGCGCGAUUGAAUGAGCCGAUGUCGGAUUAGCUAGUUGGCGGGGUAAAGGCCCACCAAGGCGACGAUCCGUAGCUGGUCUGAGAGGAUGAUCAGCCACACUGGAACUGAGACACGGUCCAGACUCCUACGGGAGGCAGCAGUGGGGAAUAUUGGGCAAUGGGCGCAAGCCUGAUCCAGCCAUACCGCGUGGGUGAAGAAGGCCUUCGGGUUGUAAAGCCCUUUUGUUGGGAAAGAAAAGCAGCAGGUUAAUACCCCGCUGUUCUGACGGUACCCAAAGAAUAAGCACCGGCUAACUUCGUG
rnacentral:rRNA from 1 species